rnacentral:rRNA from 1 species
UACAGAGGGUGCAAGCGUUGUCCGGAAUUAUUGGGCGUAAAGAGCUCGUAGGCGGUCUGUCACGUCGGCUGUGAAAACCCGAGGCUCAACCUCGGGCCUGCAGUCGAUACGGGCAAACUAGAGUACUGCAGGGGAGACUGGAAUUCCUGGUGUAGCGGUGAAAUGCGCAGAUAUCAGGAGGAACACCGGUGGCGAAGGCGGGUCUCUGGGCAGUAACUGACGCUGAGGAGCGAAAGCGUGGGGAGCGAACAGG